UACGUAGGUGGCGAGCGUUAUCCGGAAUUAUUGGGCGUAAAGAGCGCGCAGGUGGUUGAUUAAGUCUGAUGUGAAAGCCCACGGCUUAACCGUGGAGGGUCAUUGGAAACUGGUCGACUUGAGUGCAGAAGAGGGAAGUGGAAUUCCAUGUGUAGCGGUGAAAUGCGCAGAUAUCAGGAGGAACACCGAUGGCGAAGGCAGGUCUCUGGGCACUACUGACGCUGAGAAGCGAAAGCAUGGGGAGCGAACAGGAUUA
rnacentral:rRNA from 1 species